GACGAACCGUGCGAACGUUGUUCGGAAUCACUGGGCUUAAAGGGCGCGUAGGCGGCUUGCCAAGUCCGGGGUGAAAUCCUCCAGCUUAACUGGAGAAGUGCCUUGGAUACUGGCGAGCUCGAGCGAGGCAGGGGUGAUGGGAACUUCCGGUGGAGCGGUGAAAUGCGUUGAUAUCGGAAGGAACGCCGGUGGCGAAAGCGCAUCACUGGUCCUCUUCUGACGCUGAGGCACGAAAGCGUGGGGAGCAAACAGG
rnacentral:rRNA from 1 species